rnacentral:rRNA from 1 species
ACGCUAGCUACAGGCUUAACACAUGCAAGUCGAGGGGAAACGGCAUUAAGUGCUUGCACUUUUUGGACGUCGACCGGCGCACGGGUGAGUAACGCGUAUCCAACCUUCCCAUGACUAAGGGAUAACCUGCCGAAAGGCAGACUAAUACCUUAUGGUCUUCACUGACGGCAUCAGAUGUGAAGUAAAGAUUUAUCGGUUAUGGAUGGGGAUGCGUCUGAUUAGUUAGUUGGCGGGGUAACGGCCCACCAAGGCAACGAUCAGUAGGGGUUCUGAGAGGAGGGUCCCCCACAUUGGAACUGAGACACGGUCCAAACUCCUACGGGAGGCAGCAGUGAGGAAUAUUGGUCAAUGGGCGAGAGCCUGAACCAGCCAAGUAGCGUGCAGGAUGACGGCCCUAUGGGUUGUAAACUGCUUUUGUAUGGGGAUAAAGUCAAUCACGUGUGAUUGUUUGCAGGUACCAUACGAAUAAGGACCGGCUAAUUCCGUGCCAGCAGCCGCGGUAAUACGGAAGGUCCGGGCGUUAUCCGGAUUUAUUGGGUUUAAAGGGAGCGUAGGCUGGAGAUUAAGUGUGUUGUGAAAUGUAGACGCUCAACGUCUGACUUGCAGCGCAUACUGGUUUCCUUGAGUACGCACAACGUUGGCGGAAUUCGUCGUGUAGCGGUGAAAUGCUUAGAUAUGACGAAGAACUCCGAUUGCGAAGGCAGCUGACGGGAGCGCAACUGACGCUGAAGCUCGAAGGUGCGGGUAUCGAACAGGAUUAGAUACCCUGGUAGUCCGCACAGUAAACGAUGGAUGCCCGCUGUUGGUACUUGGUAUCAGCGGCUAAGCGAAAGCAUUAAGCAUCCCACCUGGGGAGUACGCCGGCAACGGUGAAACUCAAAGGAAUUGACGGGGGCCCGCACAAGCGGAGGAACAUGUGG